rnacentral:rRNA from 1 species
UACAGAGGUCUCAAGCGUUGUUCGGAUUCAUUGGGCGUAAAGGGUGCGUAGGCGGCGGGGCAAGUCAGGUGUGAAAUCCCGGAGCUUAACUCCGGAACUGCACUUGAUACUGCCUUGCUUGAGGACUGGAGAGGAGAUCGGAAUUCACGGUGUAGCAGUGAAAUGCGUAGAUAUUGUGAGGAAGGCCAGUGGCGAAGGCGGAUCUCUGGACAGUUCCUGACGCUGAGGCACGAAGGCCAGGGGAGCAAACGGG